rnacentral:rRNA from 1 species
ACUCUGGGAUAAGCGCUGGAAACGGCGUCUAAUACCGGAUAUGAGCUGCGGCCGCAUGGUCGGCAGUUGGAAAGAUUUUUCGGUCAGGGAUGAGCUCGCGGCCUAUCAGCUUGUUGGUGAGGUAAUGGCUCACCAAGGCGUCGACGGGUAGCCGGCCUGAGAGGGUGACCGGCCACACUGGGACUGAGACACGGCCCAGACUCCUACGGGAGGCAGCAGUGGGGAAUAUUGCACAAUGGGCGGAAGCCUGAUGCAGCAACGCCGCGUGAGGGAUGACGGCCUUCGGGUUGUAAACCUCUUUUAGCAGGGAAGAAGCGAAAGUGACGGUACCUGCAGAAAAAGCGCCGGCUAACUACGUGCCAGCAGCCGCGGUAAUACGUAGGGCGCAAGCGUUAUCCGGAAUUAUUGGGCGUAAAGAGCUCGUAGGCGGUCUGUCGCGUCUGCUGUGAAAACCCGAGGCUCAACCUCGGGCCUGCAGUGGGUACGGGCAGACUAGAGUGCGGUAGGGGAGAUUGGAAUUCCUGGUGUAGCGGUGGAAUGCGCAGAUAUCAGGAGGAACACCGAUGGCGAAGGCAGAUCUCUGGGCCGUAACUGACGCUGA